GCACGUCUCAUACAGCGGUCUAGUAUGCGAAGCUUGUACCUUCGACACGUUGGUUCGAAUCCAGCGAUGUGCUCCA
rnacentral:tRNA from 1 species